rnacentral:rRNA from 1 species
GGAGUCUGGGCCGUGUCUCAGUCCCAAUGUGGCCGUUCAUCCUCUCAGACCAGCUACUGAUCGUCGCCUUGGUAAGCCGUUACCUCACCAACUAUCUAAUCGGACGCGAGCCCACCCUUCACCGGAUUGCUCCUUUGACCCCUUCGCCAUGUGACGUUGUGGUCUUAUGCGGUAUUAGAACACCUUUCGGUAUCUUAUCCCCCUGUGAAGGACAGGUUGCUCACGCGUUACUCACCCGUCCGCCGCUAAAACAUAUAUCUUCCGGCCGAAGCUUUCCGUUACAUGUCUCCGCUCGACUUGCAUGUGUUAAGCACGCCGCCAGCGUUCGUCCUCGAGCCAGGAUCAAACUACU